CGGCCUGAGAGGGCGACCGGCCACACUGGGACUGAGACACGGCCCAGACUCCUACGGGAGGCAGCAGUGGGGAAUAUUGCACAAUGGGCGGAAGCCUGAUGCAGCGACGCCGCGUGAGGGAUGACGGCCUUCGGGUUGUAAACCUCUUUCAGCAGGGACGAAGCGUAAGUGACGGUACCUGCAGAAGAAGCGCCGGCCAACUACGUGCCAGCAGCCGCGGUAAGACGUAGGGCGCGAGCGUUGUCCGGAUUUAUUGGGCGUAAAGAGCUCGUAGGCGGCUUGUCGCGUCGACCGUGAAAACCUGGGGCUCAACCCCAGGCCUGCGGUCGAUACGGGCAGGCUAGAGUUCGGUAGGGGAGACUGGAAUUCCUGGUGUAGCGGUGAAAUGCGCAGAUAUCAGGAGGAACACCGGUGGCGAAGGCGGGUCUCUGGGCCGAUACUGACGCUGAGGAGCGAAAGCGUGGGGAGCGAACAGGAUUAGAUACCCUGGUAGUCCACGCUGUAAACGUUGGGCGCUAGGUGUGGGGGGCCUCUCCGGUUCCCUGUGCCGCAGCUAACGCAUUAAGCGCCCGGG
rnacentral:rRNA from 1 species